CGUUCGGGCCGCUUCCGGUGUCCCCGUGUGCCCCGCCCCCUUCUCCCCCCCCCCUCUCGUGUCAUGGCGGCCUGGGGGGAGAAAGGCUUGAAAUACUGAGGUCUCAAAUAGAGAAUAAACGUUGAUCACUGCACAAGGCAAAUACACAUAAGUGCAUUUCUGCCUGUCGCCGUAUAGCUGCUCAAGUUUUGGGAGCUUUUGCCGGGGGGAAAGAAAAGGAAAGAAAAAACGGGGCAGACAUCAGCUCUUCAGUGCUGCUUUUAAAGUGUCAUCACUGGCUGUAGAAUAUUCUAAAAGUGAACCAGCGCCACCUCUCUCCAAAUAUCCAAUGGUUUUGGUCUGAACACCUGCAUUGAGAACUGGCUGGUGGCUGGAUCCUGUUGUGAUCAAACUUAAACUGAGGAGGGGUAUUGAUCCACUGUUGAAGUCCUCCAUUUUUCAUCGUUAAUUGGAAAAGCAAGCCAAGAUGGAGGGGGGUGCUCUUUCGAGAGCUGUGAGGAGAAAUUUCAACAGCAAGAAUUCAAAGGAAGAGACAAAUGUGUUUG